ACAAAAUAUUCAGGAUCGCUCACGUGCAUGAAUAAGUCCAAAUAAGGCAUACAUUUGGCACAGGGACUUCUGUAUUAAGAGCCUGAUGAAAUCCCUUUGUUCAGCAACACUUCAAAGAUUCGCGUUGUAGAGGUACUCUAGGUAAGGUGGCGAGGUGAAGGCAUCAAGCAGAGUUCCAGCCUGGCCAGCUGCCAACUCUCCCUGGAAAUAACGUCCGGGCUCAGUGACAGAAAUCAAAGUUACAGGAGCAGCCCCAGAGCCCUGAAGAAUAGCAACAGGGAUGAGCUGGGAAAUUAUCGGCCGUUUCCAGCCUUGUUUUAUCCUCUAAGAUUGGGACUGACCUUUGGAAAGGCUAUCAAGAUCUGCUUGCUCAAAGUGUUGCAGUUUGUUAGAAAGACAUCAUUCAAACUCAUAUGUGGCCAGACCUGCUGAGCUUCUCCAGGAACUUUGUGUUUGUGCCAAAGGAAGAAAACUUGGGGCACAUGUAGCACUUAAGCAGCACGUUGAAAAGGGAAAGAAAUGGGGACCAGCUUUGGAGAUCUGCCUUUUGGAUGAAAGAGGGCAAGGAAGCCAGGAUUGGAGCAAUACCCAUUUCACAUUGCAACUUGCGUUUAUAGCAUUACUUCCUGUCGCGUCUAUAAGUGAUAGCCCUGUCAGGGUGACACCAACAACAUGGGUUCAAUUCCUGCACCAGCUGACGUGACCAUGAAAGCCUCUCCUCCUCAAUCUCUCCCUUUUGUCCAAGGCACAGAGACGCUCAGGCUAAACCACCACCAACCAUCUCGCUCUAAUGAGGGAGCAGCCCUAUGCUCUGGUUGGGCUAUGGCGACUUUAAUUUACGGCUGUACCAUCAUGUUACCUAGUUCUCUGCCCCUGAACAGAAUUUGGUGAUGUGGCAUACUUGUUUUUAUCCAUGUGACAUUCCAUGAUUCUAAGGUAGAAUCUGAUUUCUCUCCAUAGAUGCUACCAGACCUACUGAACUUUUCCAGCAAUUUCUCACUGCACGCUCAGGUACGGGGUUUGUCCCUUUGAGCACUGUUUACCCAGAACAUUACCACCGAUCGAAACUGCCUUAUCUGUCUGAAAAUGGUGGCUUUUAACAAAAAAUGUACCAACAUCAACAUCUUUAUUCUUCUAUUCCCUCUGCAGAGUGAAUAAAGGGGUUUUGUUUCUCACCUGCUGCCCUUCCAAAUGAAAUAAAUGAUCAAUUUUGAUUUCUGGGCUGAGGAAAGAUCAAUACUGAAGGACAAGUUGCAAACAUUGCUAAAAAUCACUGUGCCAAACUAAAGAAAACAGGUGAAACAUGGAGGGCAAGUGUUUUAACUGUAAAAAGCCAAACGACUUUUCAUGCCACACUUAACCAGGGAUGAUGUGGAGGUGCCAGUGUUGGGCUUGAGUGGACAAGGCCAGAAGUCACAUGACACCAGGUUAUAGUCCAACAAGUUUAUUUGAAAUCACAAGCUUUUGGAGUGCAGCUCCUUCGCCAGGUGAAUUGGAAUGACAGUUCUGAGGAAGGGUCACC